rnacentral:misc_RNA from 1 species
UACGGAGGGUGCAAGCGUUGUCCGGAUUUAUUGGGUUUAAAGGGUGCGUAGGUGGUCGAUUAAGUCAGUGGUGAAAGCCCACAGCUCAACUGUGGAACUGCCAUUGAAACUGGUUGACUUGAGUAUAGAUGAGGUAGGCGGAAUUUAUGGUGUAGCGGUGAAAUGCAUAGAUACCAUAAAGAACACCGAUAGCGAAGGCAGCUUACUAAACUAUAACUGACACUGAGGCACGAAAGCGUGGGGAGCGAACAGG